AACGAACGCUGGCGGCAGGCUUAACACAUGCAAGUCGAACGCCCCGCAAGGGGAGUGGCAGACGGGUGAGUAACGCGUGGGAAUCUACCCAUCCCUACGGAACAACUCCGGGAAACUGGAGCUAAUACCGUAUACGCCCUUAGGGGGAAAGAUUUAUCGGGGAUGGAUGAGCCCGCGUUGGAUUAGCUAGUUGGUGGGGUAAAGGCCUACCAAGGCGACGAUCCAUAGCUGGUCUGAGAGGAUGAUCAGCCACAUUGGGACUGAGACACGGCCCAAACUCCUACGGGAGGCAGCAGUGGGGAAUAUUGGACAAUGGGCGCAAGCCUGAUCCAGCCAUGCCGCGUGAGUGAUGAAGGCCUUAGGGUUGUAAAGCUCUUUCACCGAUGAAGAUAAUGACGGUAGUCGGAGAAGAAGUCCCGGCUAACUUCGUGCCAGCCGCCGCAGUAAAAC
rnacentral:rRNA from 1 species